rnacentral:ncRNA from 1 species
AAGCGGCGCUGAACUCGCAGAAGUCAGCAGAGGUCAUAGUAGUCGGUCAUAGACGAGGCCGGCGAAGGAC